GGCGGACGGGUGAGUAACGCGUGAGGAACCUGCCUUUCAGAGGGGGACAACAGUUGGAAACGACUGCUAAUACCGCAUGACACAUAGAGAUCGCAUGGUUUUUAUGUCAAAGAUUUAUCGCUGAAAGAUGGCCUCGCGUCUGAUUAGCUAGUUGGUGAGGUAACGGCCCACCAAGGCGACGAUCAGUAGCCGGACUGAGAGGUUGACCGGCCACAUUGGGACUGAGAUACGGCCCAGACUCCUACGGGAGGCAGCAGUGGGGAAUAUUGGGCAAUGGGCGCAAGCCUGACCCAGCAACGCCGCGUGAAGGAAGAAGG
rnacentral:rRNA from 1 species